rnacentral:rRNA from 1 species
UUGAACGCUGGCGGCAGGCCUAACACAUGCAAGUCGAGCGGAUGAAGGGAGCUUGCUCCUGGAUUCAGCGGCGGACGGGUGAGUAAUGCCUAGGAAUCUGCCUGGUAGUGGGGGAUAACGUCCGGAAACGGGCGCUAAUACCGCAUACGUCCUGAGGGAGAAAGUGGGGGAUCUUCGGACCUCACGCUAUCAGAUGAGCCUAGGUCGGAUUAGCUAUUUGGUGGGGUAAAGGCCUACCAAGGCGACGAUCCGUAACUGGUCUGAGAGGAUGAUCAGUCACACUGGAACUGAGACACGGUCCAGACUCCUACGGGAGGCAGCAGUGGGGAAUAUUGGACAAUGGGCGAAAGCCUGAUCCAGCCAUGCCGCGUGUGUGAAGAAGGUCUUCGGAUUGUAAAGCACUUUAAGUUGGGAGGAAGGGCAGUAAGUUAAUACCUUGCUGUUUUGACGUUACCAACAGAAUAAGCACCGGCUAACUUCGUG